GAUGAACGCUGGCGGCGUGCCUAAUACAUGCAAGUCGAGCGAACGGACGAGAAGCUUGCUUCUCUGAUGUUAGCGGCGGACGGGUGAGUAACACGUGGAUAACCUACCUAUAAGACUGGGAUAACUUCGGGAAACCGUAGCUAAUACCGGAAAUUAUUUUAACCGGCUGGGUCCAAAGGGGAUAACGGGCCUUGCGUCACCUAAAAGAGGAUCCGCGCUGCAUUAGCUAGUUGGUAAGGUAACGGCUUACCAAGGCAACGAUGCAUAGCCGACCUGAGAGGGUGAUCGGCCACACUGGAACUGAGACACGGUCCAGACUCCUACGGGAGGCAGCAGUAGGGAAUCUUCCGCAAUGGGCGAAAGCCUGACGGAGCAACGCCGCGUGAGUGAUGAAGGUCUUCGGAUCGUAAAACUCUGUUAUUAGGGAAGAACAUAUGUGUAAGUAACUGUGCACAUCUUGACGGUACCUAAUCAGAAAGCCACGGCUAACUACGUG
rnacentral:rRNA from 1 species